rnacentral:rRNA from 1 species
AGACGGAGGCCCCAAGCGUUGUUCGGAAUUACUGGGCUUAAAGAGCGUGUAGGCGGGAUGGUAAGUAUUGUGUGAAAGCCCCGGCUUCAACCCGGGAAUUGCACGGUAUACUACUGUCCUUGAGGUAGGCAGGGGUCACUGGAACCUUAGGUGGAGCGGUGAAAUGCGUAGAUAUCUAAGGGAACGCCUGUGGCGAAAGCGGGUGACUAGGCCUAUCCUGACGCUGAGACGCGAAAGCGUAGGGAGCGAACGGGAUUAGAUACCCCGGUAGUCUACGCCGUAAACGAUGCGCACUAGGUUCGAGAGCUACUGACAGUUUUCGUGCCGAAACAAAAGCGAUAAGUGCGCCGCCUGGGGAGUACGGCCGCAAGGCUAAA